rnacentral:lncRNA from 1 species
AAAUGCCAGUUGACUGACUUAUGUGAUGAUGUCCUAUUUACCUAUUGUUAUACCCUUGUUUUUCCUUGAUAGGAAAUGUUAUAGUAACAUGUCUAGUUAACUAAGGGACCCUGCAUGACUAUGGAUGGAAUGCCACAAGCCCUUAUGCCACCAAGAGGGCUCCUGAUUGGAUGAACCUGGGAUUGUUGCACAGGAAGUUGAUCUCCAUCCAGAGGAGCCAGGUGGGAGAAUCCCGAAUACUGCCUGUAACCAGACAGCUUUGUUCAGCCAUCCCUGAGUGCCAGAAUCAAGCCUUUUACGAGCAUGGUUGUCUCAGCUUCCAGGAAUCUCCGAAACCUCUAGAUUAUGAGCUCACAGUUGGCUUGUGGCAGGUAAGAGUCUCUUUGAGUUUCAAGGGAUUCUAGGGCAGCAGAAAUGCGGGGGCGGGGGGGUCACAA